rnacentral:rRNA from 1 species
UACGUAGGGGGCAAGCGUUAUCCGGAUUUACUGGGUGUAAAGGGAGCGUAGACGGUGAAGCAAAUCUGAUGUGAAAACCCGGGGCUCAACUCCGGGAUUGCAUUGGAAACUGUUUUACUUGAGUGCUGGAGGGGCAAGCGGAAUUCCUGGUGUAGCGGUGAAAUGCGUAGAUAUCAGGAAGAACACCGGUGGCGAAGGCGGCUUGCUGGACAGUAACUGACGUUGAGGCUCGAAAGCGUGGGGAGCAAACAGG